CGUGCUGUAUUUGCCGGGUACUGGAGGUCGGGCAUGCCCAUGAAACAUCCACUGCGAAAUGCUCUGCCAACGCCGAAAAGAGUGUGAUUGACACGAAAUAUCAGAGACAUGUGCCACAAACUACUCUUUAAAUUAUAUUUACGCAUGCGCUGCCUGGCUACAAGUUGAAUAUAAGCGCGUAGAAAAGACGGAGGAGCGCCGAAAAGUGUCCGUCCGGUUUGUCCUACAAAGGCGCCGAGAGUUUGACAGCGGCAGGACCUCAGUGCGCAGGCCUGACGUUAGGUAAACUGCCGGAGGAGGACGGCGUCCAAAGGACUCCAUGAGACAAUAAACACGGUCCUUUCUGAAGAGGGAAGCGAGCUAAAACAUGAGGAAGGACGUGAGGAUACUGCUGGUCGGGGAGCCCAAGGUGGGGAAGACAUCACUGAUAAUGUCUCUGGUCAGUGAGGAGUUUCCCGAUGAGGUUCCUCUCCGAGCGGAGGAGAUCACCAUCCCUGCUGAUGUCACCCCAGAGAGGGUGCCCACACACAUUGUGGACUACUCAGAGGCAGAACAGUCAGAUGAACAGCUGUACCAAGAAAUCUCAAAGG